AUUUUACCCUUUGACUAAUUAAAUUACAACAAAUUUUUCAUUUAUGUGAAUUGUCACUUACCAUGUGCAUACAAGUGCAAUGUAUUUUGGUUAAUGUGAGAUGUCAAAAGAUAACAUCUUAAAAUGAGAUUCUCAAGUAGUUAUCUUUAUGUUUUUUUACCUUUCAAUGGAAUUCGAGUGUUAGAACAAAAAAUUAAAAAAAAAACCAUUAGUCAAUAUAAGAGGAUUAUAAUACUAAACAGUCUAUAAUAAAAAUUAACAUAAUGAAGAAUCUAACAUAUAAAAUGUUUCCAGUUAAUGUAUCUAUUGUAACGCCCCGCCCGACACCUCUCUCAGUGGGCACCAUGUUUACUCUCAGCCCAUGGGCCCACCUCUCUUAAUU
rnacentral:lncRNA from 1 species